UCCCUGGAGGACUAGUGGUUAAGCCACAGCACUCUUACCACUGUGGCCCAGGUCCAAUUCCCGCCCAGGAAA